AGCAUGAAUUUGAGAAUGUUACCUGCUCAAACGAGACAUCCAUCAAAUUAAGUGCUUGAGACAUUUCAACCAUCCCAAGUUCACCGACUGGAGAUGGAGCAUUUUUUCCACCAAUUAUUUUAGGUGAGACAAAAGCAUAUACCUGUAUUACAUGUAUGAAGAAUAAGAGUAAAAUAAUAUGAUGCAAUACAUAAACUUAACUCUUAUGUUUAAAACAUUGCAAAUUAAAAAGAUAGUUAAAGAGGAAAAAGCUGACAUAAAAUUUAGAAAAUAAUAAUAUACUAAUAUUUAAUAAAAGAAAAGAUAAGUUCAGACAAACAAUAUAGAAGGGUAAACCAGGAAGGUGAAGAGUCGUGGACAUUGUUUAUCAUCAGAGACACUAGUCACGAUCAGGUAGUAUCCAAUUGCAUCCUUCUAGCCACCAGAGAACUCUUCAGAGCUCACUGGUAGGUUUGACAUGACCAGUCACAUUGCAUUUCCCACGACCACUCAGAGCAUCUAAGAUAAUCCAUUACCUCUCUGAAAUUGGUGAUCUGGAAAAUGGACUUUAUAUUCCAUUUGUUCUUGAUUAAGCAGGACAGGGCUCUGAUGGAAGUCCUCUUUAUUUUACUAAUGAAAAUGAUCUUUCAUCAAAAUAAAUAUAUAUAUAUAUGUACCUUAUGGAUUACACCGGCACCAAUAGCUGAUGCUGCUAAUUCUCCACCGCACUCCCAUAAAACAGACAAAUAGCCACGACUGUAACAAUACUCCAUAACCUCUCUCGGGUUCAAGACGUCAAAUUCUAUAACCUCAACACCUUUUGACCUAAGGAGUUCUUGGAAGUUCUUUCGAGCACCCCUUUGUGUUAGAACUAUAGUGUAUCCAUCAUCUACAUUCCAGAGAUUUGCCUCGUUGGGAAGGCUAAGAGUCCGUGACAUCACCAUUCUUACAGGAACAUGUGUCCCUCCAUGUCUUGCUGUUAAGUGGGGAUCUGAAAAAAACAAAUAAACAUAGGGAAUAUUUUAUAUGAGGAUAUAUAUAGUUAUUUACAAAUUGAUUUGGUUUGAUUAGUUUUUUUUUGAAACAGUUAAAUAUUUUCAAUUUUUCAUUAAUCAUAAUGAAGGAUAUUGCCUUGAUUACAUUGGGGAUAAGCAUAAGCAUAAAUAAGCAUAAACAAAUAGAAUAUGGUAAAGAGUACCAGACUCAUUUGACACUUUCCACACAACCAUACUGCCUAGUGUUGGGUACUAGGUUAUCUGUCUUUGGAGGUUGGUCUCCCAUAUUUGUAUCGUGCUAUGCCCCAAUGGAUGAUAAUUGACAACAGCUUUUCUUGAAGCCCUUAGGAUUGAAGGAAAAGCUUGUCAUUUAUGACCUCGUUGAGUACCGUUUCGGGUGGUCUGAGUGAGUGUUGCUACCAUCUCCAGUUUCUUUCUGCCCAUAUGUGCCAACUUAAGGCUCCAGUCGUGUUCCAUAAUAAACCCCAAAUUGGAGAGUGACGUGUUAGCUUUUGACAUGCCUCAGUAAGGUCACCUAGCCUAAUGUAUGGGUGUGUGGUUGUGGGUGUAGGAAUGUUCAUGAUUUUCCAGAAUAUGUUGUCUAGUUUUUCUAUUAAGGGUAAUAGAAUGGCUCGUGUAAGUGUAGUUGAAAAAUAGGUGACUUCUCGUUUCAUCUUCAAUGUUGCAUAAUAAGCAGGUGGCUUGGUUUAGCAUGCCCCACCCAUUUAGUCUGGUGAAAGUGUUUAUAUCAAAGUUUGAGUUGCACCAUAGCGCGUAGCGCCGGCACUUGGCGCUAUGGGGAGAUAGCGGGAGAUAGCGCGCUAUAGCGCCUACAUAGCGCCAAGUGUAUUUUUAAAUAUUCAAUAUAUUAUAAAGUAAUAGUGAAUAUCAUACUUAACUAAAGAGUAGUGAUCAAGUGUGAUCAUUAAUUUUAGAAUUCAAAAUAUUCCUAAAUAUUAAGUUUUAGGAGUCAAAAUGAUAGUCCAAAACUCUAAAUGUCUCAUAGAUGCAAAUCUAUUCUUCUUCUUCAAUUUCCUCUAGCAUUUGAGGUUGCAUCCUUCUUUUACUUCUUUGGUAGGUUCGUCGAAAUCUUUCACAAACUUCAUCAGAAAGAUGAGCUUGAGUAGUGAAUGGUCUUGCUUGACCACUCCUCGUAGAAGGCCCGGGAUGCUCUCCUGCUCCGACUGCUUCCUCUACCAUGCUCCAUGUCAAACCUUCCUUAAUGUAUACAAACUCCUCAGAUUCUCCUUCAAUAUUUAUCAUCCAUUCACUUGUAAGAUUUAAUUCUUCUAGACGGAUGGGGUCAAACUUUCCCUUGCCAUCUUCCUCAAGCAUUAUAUUUUUUUGUAAUCGUUCCUCAAGCUUUUUAUUAUAAUUCACAAACACCAGAUCAUCUAGUCGUUUGAUUUUCAAUCGAUUACGUCUCUUGGUAUGAAACUGCAAUUGGGGAAUACAAAAUUAAGAAUUGUAGAUCAAUUGAAUUUAAGAAAUUCAUACUAAUGAGGAUAAUACUUGCAUGCUCAAACGUAUUCCAGUUCCUCUCACAACUGGAUGCGGAACAACAAAGUCCAAUAAUCCUCAUGGCAUAGGUCCUCAAUUCAGGAGUUCUUGAUCCAAAAUGUUCCCACCAUCGAACUAAAUUCAGAAAACGCAUAAGAUCAUUGAAAUUCAGAUUGAAUUUCAGUUUUUAUGUACUAAAAUGAUACUUGCUAGGCUCUAAAUCCUCAAUUGCUAGUUCAGCCACUUUGGAAGAAAAUCUUCCGAAUUUGUUGAUGUAGAGGCUUGAAUCUACCACUGCCUUAGUUCGUUGGUGCACAUCUAGCAUCAUGUGUGCUAUACAAUCUUCAAAUGCUUCUUGACAAGUGCUGGCCAAUUCUGAAAAUUAUAUGGCAAAUCAUAUCUUUGCAAGUUGUAAAACACCCUAGGAUUUAGGAAACCACCAACCUUCACAAGAGGUGAUUGGUAAUGUUUUGCCUACCGCUUGUCCAUCAGAUUCUAAAUUGGUUUAUAUUUACUUUCAUCAUCGUCGGAAUUGGUUUUCACAGCACAUCUAGCAGCUUCGAAUGCACCAACUAGAUAUGGCAUAGUCGGUUUUGUGUCACCAUCAACCAUCCUCAGAACAACCAAAAUGGGUUGUGAAACUCGAAGCAAAUCCUCAAAAGUUAUCCAAAAACGGGUGUUGAUUAUUAAAUCAGAACCAUCUAACCCAUGACCUUUUCUAGCCCACUUUUCCCAAUCAAAACUCCUCAACUUGGAUUUGCUUUCAAAUAAACUUUCGAGAGUAAGAAAAUUUGUCGCAAACCUAGUUAUUCCGCAUCGUAUAAGCUCUUUUCUGUUGUUAUGUUUCAGCCAUGCAGAAUGUAGGGUGGUAUGCUGGUAGACGUGCAUAGAAAUCUUGCGACCAUUGCGAAUAACAUCAUUGUACAUUGGUAGCUUUCCAAUGUCUUCAAGUAAGAGGUCGAGAACAUAACCAGCACAUGGAGUCCAAAAUAGGUGAUGAUACUUGUCCAUUAGUAUCUUUCCGGCCGCCACAUAAUUGCUUACAUUGUCAAUGCAAAUCUAAAAUGAUAGAAAGGCAUUUUCAAGAUCUACAAAUGAUUAAUGAAGUACUACAAAUAAUAAACAUUUUACCUGAACCAUAUUGUCCUUGCCAACAAUCUCUAUUGCAUCUUCAAGACCUUUUGCAAUAAAAUUUGCAGUUUUCUUAUCGGCAGAGGCAUCUAUCGAGUGCAAAUAGAAUGUUCCCUUAGUAGAUUUCACCAAAAAAUUAAGGACACUUCUCUGUCGACGAUCAGUCCAACCGUCGGACAUGAUCGUGCAUCCUCCUUCCAUGCGAUCUCAUGUUUCUUUUUCAAUUCUUCAAUGCUUUUGACUUGGCGUUGAAGUAAGUUGUUGCGGAGCAUGUACAUGCUGAAAGGUCGAUAGUUCGGACCAUAUCGUCCAAUACCUUCAAUCCAUGCAUGAAGUGCUGGAUUGUUAAUGACAUUGAAAGGAAUUCCGGCUAUCACGAAGAACUCAGCUCCAACGUCAUCUAAAAUCUGCUUCUCUUGUUUCUUCGGGUGAUCAACUAUGGUGGUUUGUCUUUGCUUCAUAUGUUUCUCCUGUGCACGCUUUUGAAUAAUAGAUUGAAGUGUCACUCCCCUUUCCAAACCUAAGGGACCUUUCACCUUAAUCAUAGUUCCGGAUGCGUGCGCAUAUGCACGAAUGCACCUUGGAAGAGAGAUGCGCCAGGCGCAUCUCCCUUAGCAUGCGAUUUUUUUAAAAAAAAUAUAUAUAUAUUUUUUUUUAUCUUCCUUCAUCUUUUUCUCCAUCUCAUUUCAGAGAUUAGGGUUGUGUUUUUUUAAUUAAUUUAUUGUUUUUUUAGGGUUUUUGAAAUGGCUGAAUUUAAUGAAAACAAUGAGGGUGAACUCCAACCUGAACCUAUAGAUGUAAAUCAUUUGUUUUAUAAACGGCUAAAGAAGACACAGGAUCACCUAUAGAUCGUAUUAUGUAUUUCAAGUUUGAACUAGUCUAUGUGUUUUGAACUACUUUAACUAUUUUGAUAUAUUUUAUGAAGUAGAUAUAUUUUAGGUAUAUAAAAAAUAUAUGAAAACCUUUAUUUUUAUAUAUAUUUACGAAAAUGCCAUUGGCGCAAAGGCGCGCUUUUGCGCGCAAAAACACGCAAAAGCUCAAGUGCUCCAAGUGGUGCCGCAUCGCGCAGAGGCGCAUCCUGAACCUUGACCUUUAAUUCCCGAUGUAGAGGGUUUCCCAAUUGGAGUGCCACUUUUGGUUUCUACCUUCCGCUUCUUCUUUUGUGGAAUGGCUUCAACAUCCACAAUAGGAAUGGGCAUUUCUUUUUGUUUCUAUUAGAGAUGUAAAUAAGUGGGAGAGAUACUCGAUCCCUUUUCAUUCACAAUGAGUAUCAUAUAUAUAUAACUUAAUACUACAAUAACAUGUAUCAUAUCACUAAUUAGUAUCGUAUACUAAUUAGUGAUAUGAUACAUGUUAUUGUAGUAUUAAGUUAUAUAUAUAUGAUAUGAUAUAUAUGUAUCAUAUCACUAAUACACCCCCCUCAAGUCUGAUGAUGUGAACAAAUCAGCUUGUCCUUGAGAUCUUUGAAGAGUUUGGGCUUCAAUGCUUUAGUGAGAAUAUUUGUUUGUUGUAGAACAUUCGGUAUGUGUUGCACAACAACAGUUUUGUCCUCCAUUCUUUCUUGAACAAAUCUGAAAUCCAUGGCUGCAUGUUUGAUUUUAGAGUGAUAAACCGGAUUGGCAGUCAAAUGAAUUGCUCCUAAGUGCACAAACAAUGAAGGAUCAGAUUGACGCAAGGUUCCGGAUGCGCCUCUGCGCGAUGCGCCGCCACCUGGAGCAUCUGAGCAUAUGCACUCAGAUGCGCCAGUGGCAUUUUCGUAAAUAUUUAUAAAACUAUAGGAAAUUAAUAUUUUUUAUAUAUCUAAAUUAUAUAAAUUAUAUUGGAUAGAAAAAUUAUUAUAAUACAUAUAUUUAUUAAUUAUUAUAACACUCUAUAAUUCAUUGUAACACCAAGGUUUAAAAAAAAACACCAAGGUUUAAAAACCGGUUAACCAUUUAGGGGUAUUUUCGUAAUAAUAUAGCUCUAUAAAUGGCUAGGGUUUCUUUAAACUUAUAAAAGAGAGGCUUUUAUAAAAAGAAAAUAAUAAAUAACCCAAGAGACUUUUAAAAAAUAAUAAUGUAAUGGGCUGGGCUUUCUUUAAUACAUCUACAACAUAAAAAAUACUCUAUAAUAAUCAUUUAUUUAACCACACUUUUUUAGUCCCACAUCGAUAGAAUCAAGCUUGUUCAUGCGACGCCUAGGCGUCGCAUAUGCGACCAUGCGCUCCAGCACAUGUAGGCGUUUGCCUUCAUGCGCUCCAGCACAUGUAGGCGUUUGCCUUCAUGCGCUCCAGCACAUGUAGGCGUUUGCCUUCAUGCGCUGGAGCGGGUUAGGCGGGUCCGGGUCGGAUCUGACCUGGACUCGCCUAACCCAAUAGGUCUGUUUUAUUAUUUUUUUUAUUUUUUUUUUAUUUUUUUUUUAAUUUAAAUAUAAGGCCCAACCACCCAUUUAAAUAAGAGGUUGAGGGUUUUAAAAAACCCUAACCUCUUUUCUUUCUUGUUUCUUGCAUCUUUUUAACCCUAAAUUCAUAGAAGUCAUAUAAUCUAUGUAUUUACAUUUUAAAUUUUAGAUUAAUAGGGCUAUUACUUUGUAUUAGUAAUUUCAGGUUUUAAAAUUUAUGUAUAUAUUUUUUUAAAAUUACCCAUAUUUUUUAGCAAAUGUAUAUAAGUUCAGGGUAAAUUUGCAAAAUUUACCCUAUUUUCAGGCGACCGCCUAGGCGUCGCCUGAAGCGCCUAGGCGGCCAUGCGGUCAUGGCCAUCGGAUGACCGCAUGGUCGCCUAAAAAACCUUGGAUAGAAUUCAAAAAACACAAAGAAGGUUGGUCUAUAAAUAAAGAUUCAUUUUGACUAAAACAAAUAUGAAGUCUAAAGAGUGGGAGGAGCUUAUAUUAAAAAUAAUAUAGCUCUUUUCAUGGACCAAUGUAUAAAUUUUUAUGCUAAAAAUUUAUAAGGUCUUAAAAUAAAAUAAAAUUUGGCAUUUUUUUAAAAAUAAAAACAAAACACUGUUUUAAGUUAUUUAAAUAACUUAAAACAGGCCUGGAUCCGGGUCGGAUUUUACCCGGAUCCGGCUAAGGCGCAUCUCCCUAUAGGGGCGCAUCAUCGCAUAUGCGCGCGCACCCGGAACCUUGGAUUGACUUGAUAUAAAACCCAUUAAAUUCAACACCAUUUUUAGUCUGCGAAACCACAUCCUUGAAGAUUGUUUGAGACCAUAGAUAGCUUUCUUCAAUAGGCAGACGUGAUUUGGACAUGAUUCAUCCAUAAAGCCUCUAGGUUGACGCAUUAAAAUCCUCUCUUCCAAUUAACCAUGUAAAAAUGCAUUACCUAUGUCAAUUUGAUUAAGUUUCCAACCUCUUGAGACUGCAAUAGUUAAUACUGCACAAAUAGAUACAGAUUUUAUAACUGGACUGAAUGUCACAUUGUAAUCUCUGCCUUCAAUCUGAUCACUCCCAUUUGCCACUAGCCUUGCCUUCAAUCUGUCCACACUGCCAUCUGAUUUUUCUCUGACUUUAAACAGCCAUAUAAAAUUAAUCACAUUGUCUGUUGGCAUCCUUGGUACCAACUCCCAUGUGCCAUUAUUAACGAGCGCAUCAUAUUCUUUCUUCAUAGCUGAUUUCCAUCCUUCAUUCUUCAAAGCUUGCUUGACUGAAGAUGAAACUGAAAUUUCAGAAGCUAAUAUAGACAGUGCAUACCUAGGAUUAGGCUUCUUAAUCCCUGCAGCUCCUCUAGUGAAGGGGCGCCUCUCAUAAUCAGUUAAUUUUACUGAUUUUGAAAUUGAGAACUCAUCUCUAGAGCUUGAAUCUGAAGAAAUUAGUGAUAUGAUACAUAUAGAUAUAAUUAGCCAUCCUUGGAUCAAAUCCAGCAGCUCAUGUCCUCACAAGAUGACGACAAAUUGUGUGCGCCAAGCAAAGUAGUUUGAGCGGUCCAGCGUCACAAUCUUCAGAUGCUUGAUGAAAACUAUCUUGGAAGCAUCUGAAUUUGCGACUCCACUCCUAUCAACAAUGCCGUCCUCCAUUGCAGCGGAAUUCAAGAAAAUGAAGGAUUGUUGAGGAGAAAAUCCAGGAUCGAGGAAGCUCUCUUUCUAACAAACUGAUACUAUAUUAGAGAUGUAAAUAAGUGAGAGAGAUAUUCGAUCCCUUUUCAUUCACAAUGAGUAUCAUAUAUAUAUAACUUAAUACUACAAUAACAUAUAUCAUAUCACUAAUUAGUAUCGUAUCGUAUCGUAUCAUAUAUAUGAUAUGAUUAAUACUACAAAUAACAUAUGUCAUAUCACUAAUUAAUAUCGUAUCAUAUAUAUGAUAUGAUAUAUAUGAAUUGUCAGCAGAGAAAUUAUAAAUUAUAAAGGAUGUGAGCAUUGCAUAUGAUUCUACAUCCUAUAAGAAGCACAAUCUUUCACAGAUUGAAAUACAAGCUAUAUGCUCAUGGGAGUCCAACCUCUUGAGGCUUCAAUCCUUGGCCAGUUAGUCAGGGUAAUAGUUGCAUAAGAGAUAGACAAUGUUUUUACAUUUACUGUACUUGCAUUUCCCUAUAUUAUUCUGUAAUCUUGGGCUUUGCCCAACCUCUUUUUCAGUAAUGAAAGUUUUAAUUUCUCCAAAAAAAAAAUAUAUAUGAUAUGAUAUAUAUGUAUCAUAUCACUAAUACAUAGCGCGGGUAGAUAUCACCAGCUACCCGUGCUAUGGGCGAUAUAGCGCGCUAUCUCGCGCGAUACUCAAACAUAGGUUUAUAUGUCCCCAUUUUAUUUUCCAGAGGAGUAUGGAGAAUUUUGUGGGUUUGUUUGACCAUAUUCCCUCGCUAGAUUGUCUCUAUGGCUUUUAUCCCUAAUUAUCUCGGCUAUUUUUGCAAGUUUCUUGUUUGAGGUUCCAUUUUUCCACAGGAUUAUAUAAUUUGACCACACUCAAUUAGUGCAUCUGCUUUGGGACUAUCUCCCAAAUUUUCAGAAAUGGGAGUCUGUAGUGUUUUUUAUCUAAAUGCUUGAAAGGGCCCUUCCCUUUAUGUAUCUCCCUCUAGUAUUGAGUCUGAUUUUUCCCAAAAGUUUUCAAUUCUUUUGAUGUUUAUGGCAGGUACUAUGACGUCUAGGUUUCUUACCCCUAAUCCUCCUUCUGCUUUAGGUAGGAUCAUUUGUUUCCAAGGUAUUCUUUUUCUCAUAUCCCAUAUGAAGUUAUAUGCUAGUUUCCUUAACUUUUUUGUUAUAGGUUCAGGCAAAGUUGUGCCUUGGGGCUUGGGCCCAAUAGGUGUAUUUCCCUGCAAGAAUCCAGUUUACUAGCUGGAUUCUUCCCCCAUAUGAGAGACAUUUCCAGUUCAUUUUGCUAGCAUGUUCUCUAUUGGUUGUAUCAAUUUCCAGCACUGAUUAUAGGAUUUUUUCUUCCCUGUUAUUAGUAGGCCUAGGUAUGUGAGAGGGAGGGCUUUGAUG
rnacentral:lncRNA from 1 species